AGCUGAAGUUCAAAGAGAACAGUGGUGGAUUGGUGUUUCUGUAAGGUUAUGCUAUUUCCCAUUCAAAGGUUUAUAAAAUGCAGUAGAUAAAGGACAGCUUCAGAUUUCCUGGUGCUUGCCAGGCUCAUCCAGUUGUGUUCUUCCAGCUCUGGUUUGAAAAAAUAACAAACACCAGACCUUCUCUCAGUCUAUUCUCCUGAAAUAGUGUUGGGAAGAACUCACUUACAUUACUGUAACCCGAGCAGGUCUCCAACAGGAAUCUCAGUUCUGCCUUCAGGAGGGUAGGAAUAGAAAUGCAGUUUAUAAAAUUCUGGUUCUAACACAGACCCAUGGCAACUCUGAAGCCAAUGUAAUAGACCACACCAGAGUGCCCAUUAGACAAGGACACAUGGCUGAAUGGAUUUCAGGGGAGGUAGGCUGCUUCUACAAAUUAUUUUCUAUUUUUAUAUGUUGAAUAAAUUUCUAGUAUGGAAAUGAAGGGUGAUAAUUGCAGUUUUUAGAGAAUUUGGAAAAUAUCAAAAUGUUGAAGGCAUGAUGUCAAGAGACUGACGAAAAUGCUUGUAAAAACAAUGAAUAUUUUCCUGCUUCACACUCCACUUGCCAAAACUAAUUAACUGAAAAUUCAGACCUAACAGGUCAAUCCACUCUUCUUUUGGUUUUUGAAAAGCUGAAAUAAGAUGUCCUAUCCUCUCUUCUAGCAAGAGUUCUUUUCUGGUACUCUUGCACUGUCUUGACUCUAAAGCAAAGAAAUCUGAUUAUCCAGCUUUCUGUCUUUUUUUUCCCAGAAUUCUGUUACCUGCUUCUUCCGUGAUCUGCAUGUCAUAUUGUUUGCAAACUCCUUUGUUCUACUAGUGUCUAAUCUCUUGACUAACUGUUACUCAGAUUUUUGUUUCUUUAGAACACUUGAGGAGAUGCACUGGGUUGGCUGCACCAUAGCCUGGUAUCAAGUGGGUAUUUUUGAUUAAUUUAAAGCCAGCUGCAUAAAGAUACUGCUGGAACUUUGCCAAUAAAAUCUGCUGGUUCACUAAACA
rnacentral:lncRNA from 1 species